ensembl:lncRNA
AAAACAUCUUUGCUGCUAAACCUUGCUGUCCACUGAGGUAGGUGGCAGCACCAAGGACUUUAGAUUCACAAAGGCGUAAAGCAGUGAGGAUUUUUCACAGGUCUGUAAUCCAAAGCCCUGUUGAGACUAGGCCUGAUAUGAAUGCUGUAUCAGUGGCUGAGGGCGUUAUAAAUAACUGUGCUCUGCAAUUUCUAUUACCACUUCUUUGGUACUUUUCCUAAUAGAUAAUACAGUGGUUGCACCUGCCACCACCAAAACCAUGUCAGGAAUCCCAGCAGGCCCUUCUAUUAUUUUUACCAAUUCUAUGGAUAUAAUGGGACUCAAACUAGACUUUUCACUAGGCAUGUGGUCCAAGGAUGGUUCAGUACACGUCCUUUCACCCAUACUUUAAAGAGCCAUAGUGCUCUUUAGUAGCUUCCUUACUGUCAAGGAAAAUAAGCUGCUGUUGCAUACUUUGUUUUACCACUGCUUUUUCCUUAUCUUAAAUUUCUGAUCUUUGCUGUGAUUCUGAGUUCCCUUGAGUUCCAGCUCCCUGAUCUCCUAUUUUGCAUUGAAGGCUCUUUCAUCUUUUGACUGUUUGUGAUGAAUUCUUUUCAGUUCUGAAGGGGCCCAGAGCCGUAUUUCUCUAGAAGAAUGCUCUGGGAUUGGUAACUUGAGGUGAGUGUUUCUGGAAAGAGUCCAAGGGCAACCAUAUAGUGGGGUACUCUUUCUUUCUCCAGGAAUAUGCUGCUUACAGGCUACCCAUAAUAUAUGCUUGUUUAACACCCUCUGGUGAAUUUAUUCCCUGAGUGUGUCACCUUGGUUUUUAAGCCAGCUAGUGCUUUUAGCCUCUGCAAAGUUCCUGUGUAUGCCCAGAAGAUCUCUAUUUAGACAUGGAAAGUAUUUUAUUUUGUUUUGAGCCUGUGGCCUCUCCCUUUGUAGUCCCCUACAUCCUAGUACUGUAUGAUGUGGCAAAUAAUUGGCCCUGAGGUCAACCAGCUUUAGUUUUACUGAUCUCUUUUGCUCCCUCCUUUAGUGUCUGCUUUCUAAAUAGAAAGGUUUCUAGCACAGCCAAUGCCUCCCCAAGGAGAACUCUUCCCCUUGCUCUGUACCUUUCGCUUCCUUAUCUUGUUCACUUUUACUGUGCUCUGUGCCCGAGCUUGCCUCAGGCUCUGAACACAAACACCACCCCACUUUCUCCUCCUUUGAGUCAAUCCCAGGUGCCCAGAUGUCUUCUGGCAUGCAAAUCUGUUCCUGUGGAAGAACAGAAAGCGGAGCAGUGCUUGCCCACCUGCAGCAAAAGAGGCCAGCAAGACAGGAUGUUUUGUCAGAACAGGCUCUGACAGCUUCUCCAUUUAGUUCACCUAGAUAGGAGUUUCACUGCUCACACACGAGAGAGAGGACCUUUUGCUGGUCAAUGUUACACCUAGUGUGGCAAAGACUUGUUUGGUAUUUUCAGAUGCCUUCAAAUGCCUGAUUUGAGUUAUUUGGAACCAUAAACCCUGCAAGUGUAUGGAUGCUUCUAGGAAUGUCCAUUCCAUUACUCUUCUAGGAGUCUACACCAUUACUCUUCUAGGAAGAAUUUGUAGGUCUGGAGGUCUCCUGGAAAUCUGAUGCCGAAUAGGUAGUUUCUUCAAGCAACUUUUGAAGCAUCUUGUUGCAUUUUUAAAGCAGAAGUGACACCUAGUGUUGAGGACAGGUCAUUGUCUAUCACGUUUGUACAUGGACCAGGAUGCUGAGCUGGUUAGGAGAGCAACUGGGUGAUGAGAUGUGUGAGAAGGACAAGAUGCUGGAUUUGUUUUCUGAAUGUGAUACUUUUGUGAGCUUGAGAGUCUUAACCAAACGGGGUGCUAUAAAGCUAAGACCUUCCAGGUAUCUUUGUUUGUUUGUUUGUUUGUUUUCUAGUAUUGAGCUCCCAGUUAGUCUAAGCCAAUAAGUCUAAGUAAGUCACCCAGUAAGUCUAAGGGGGACUGCAGCAAACAGAGAAAAUCAAUAAAUUAAAAAACAAACAAACAAACAAGAAUCUAUGUAAGAUGCAAUUAUGCAAAGAAGAAGGCAUCUUUUUCCUCAAGUGUUUGGAAGCGAAUGGUAUUGAUUUGUGUUUUAGUGGGUGGGCCGUCCAUAGCCCACAUAGGGUAUUCUGUGGUCUGGUCAUAUGUUGUGUGUUCAGAAACUUUUUUGUUUCCCAAGAAACAGAAGUCUGAUCCAGUAGUGCAGAAGAGAGACUGGCAAAGAAUUGUUUGACCACCACUAGCUAGCACCAAAAGAAGUUAAGAACAAACCAAAACCUCCUCCAAUAAAACACUGUCCUGGUGCCUUGCAUCCACAACUACCAGGAAAAAUAAGCAAAUGGGGAGAUGCAGUUCAUGUAUAAAUUACCACCCUGCCUGCCUACCAACCCCAAUUUAAAGUAAGGAAUAAGUAAAGAUGAGUAGUUACUGAGAUAAAAGCUAAGGUAUCCACUGUGGUACGUGGAUAAAGAACCUACUACUAAAAUAGUGUGAUCUUGAAGCACUUAGUGAGGCGAUGAAGCUAUAUUUAUUAAGCCUGGCAUUAAAAAGACUGGAGGAGAGGAGAGUCUAAUUUCUGUCUGUCACUACCUAAAGAGGGUGUUGGGCAACAGAACGAGACUCGGUUGAGGUACAAAACAAAAAGACAGGAGGCAAUGGAGGUGGUAGAAACCAGCUGUAGAAUGGGAAAUUCUGUCUGGACGUUAACAGGUAGUCUUUUUCUGAGAGUGGUUCAGCACUGCCCAGCUGGGCAGCCUCUGUCCUUUGGAGAUGUCUGGAAGUAGCCUGGAGCAGACUCCUUGCUGCUUUGAGGUGCUGCUGAUCGCCUGCUGCUGAAGUCUGAGGCUGUCAUCCAACUUCUACAGCAAGAAAUCCAAACUACAGAAGUAUAGCUGAAAAGGCCAAAAACGCCAUCUAUGAGAAUGCGAACUUCCAGGGAUCCUCCAAAGAAUUAGCCAGUGACACUGCCAAUCUGAACGAUGUGCAUUGGAAUGGCCGUCUCCUCAGUAAAAGUAAUAGAACAGCUUUGGGUGGCUUAUGAGCACUUCAGCUAUGCAGGCCAGGUCUUCUAAAAGGGUUUCAAGAUUCAAGUGAGAGAACUCUGAGUAUCAUCCUUACUAUAGGCCAAAAUAACUAGGACAGUAUGAAGCCAGCUGUGCCAAAAGGAAGAAGUGUUACCAUGAGACAGAGGGGAAGGAUCUAACAUUGGUGUGUUCAAAUGCAGACUGUGGCAGUGGUGCGAGUGUACUGUGCGUGGUGUUCUCAGCCUGCUCAGUAAGGCAGAUCAGUCUGGCUGUAUCAUCACUGUUAGGUUUCUUCCAGAGGGCCUAAGCACAACACUUCGUGCAAUAUAUAAGAAAACUGCAGAACAUCAAUGCAUGUAAUGUUUUUAAUCCUGUUACUAAUGUAACUUUCCAUUAUUAAUACCUUUUGGAGUAACAAAUCUAGGUGGCCGAGGUCAUCAUCUUCUGUCCAAACAAAUCUGCAAAAUAAAUGAUGUUGG